rnacentral:tRNA from 1 species
UUACAUAGCGGUGUUUAGGGCACGGAGAAUUUUGAUUUCUCAAGAGAAGGUCACAUCUUCCUGGUAAA